CCUACGGGUGGCUGCAGUCGAGAAUCAUUCACAAUGGGGGAAACCCUGAUGGUGCGACGCCGCGUGGGGGAAUGAAGGUCUUCGGAUUGUAAACCCCUUUCAUGUGGGAGCAAAUUAAAAAGAUAGUACCACAAGAGGAAGAGACGGCUAACUCUGUGCCAGCAUCCGCGGUAAUACAGAGGUCUCAAGCGUUGUUCGGAAUCACUGGGCGUAAGGCGUGCGUAGGCUGUUUCGUAAGUCGUGUGUGAAUGGCGCGGGCUCAACCCGCGGACGGCACAUGAUACUGCGAGACUAGAGUAAUGGAGGGGGAACCGGAAUUCUCGGUGUAGCAGUGAAAUGCGUAGAUAUCGAGAGGAACACUCGUGGCGAAGGCGAGUUCCUGGACAUUAACUGACGCUGAGGCACGAAGGCCAGGGGAGCGAAAGGGAUUAGAUACCCUUGUAGUC
rnacentral:rRNA from 1 species